AAUGUUUUAGUGGCAGACGGGUGAGUAUGCGUAGGAAUCUACCUAGUAGUACGGAAUAGCCAUUAGAAAUGGUGGGUAAUACUGUAUAAUCCCCGAGGGGGAAAGAUUUAUCGCUAUUAGAUGAGCCUACGUUAGAUCAGCUAGUUGGUGAGGUAAUGGCUUACCAAGGCUAUGAUCUAUAGCUGGUCUGAGAGGACGAUCAGCCACACUGGAACUGAGAUACGGUCCAGACUCCUACGGGAGGCAGCAGUGGGGAAUAUUGGACAAUGGGCGAAAGCCUGAUCCAGCUAUGCCGCGUGAGUGAAGAAGGCCUUCGGGUUGUAAAACUCUUUCAAUAGGGAAGAUAAUGAGGUUACCUAUAAUGUGAAGAUGUUGCACCUUGCUUAAGAAUCUCCCUAAUAAUUGAAAAGUUUUUAACAAAGGGGGGGUUUUUUUUGACAUCCAAAAGGGGGGAAUUGAAAUUCAAAAUUAGAGGGGGGGGGGGGUAAUUUCCCCCCCCCCCCUUGCAAUAGUUUACCAUUAAAAUACAUUUAAAAUUUGGUCAAUUUUAGACCAUUCAAUCUUAAAAAUUAAAAAUUUCAUUCUUAAAUCUCUUUAAAUUUUUUCACCUAUUUAUAUUUGCUCUAUCUCUCUUUUAAAAAGCUUCACCUCCCCCGUAAUUUGUGAAAAUUGCUUUUUUUUUUUAAAACUCUCCCCCUUAUUUAACAUCUUGUUAAAAAAUUUUAAAAUUUACACAAUUUUCACCUCUCCACAACCCUCAUAUUUGGACAUUUAAACUCCUCAAUCAAACAUUUUAAAAUUUAAAAAAAAUUUUUUCAUUAACUCAUUGUGAACUCUUCUCGUUUCUAAUGCUUCUAUUAGUUUUUUCACACUCUUCGACAUGUUAUGUCGAUAUCCUCGCCCAACCACCUUUCUUUCUAAAUUUUAAAAUU
rnacentral:rRNA from 1 species